AACGAACGUUGGCGGCGUGGAUUAGGCAUGCAAGUCGAACGAGAAAGCCACCUUCGGGUGGUUAGUAAAGUGGCGAACGGGUGAGUAACGCGUGGGAAAUCUGCCCUACAGUUGGGGAUAACACUCCUAACGGAGUGCUAAUACCGAAUGAGACCACGAGAUCGCAUGGUCUUGAGGUUGAAGGUGGCCUCUCCUUGGAAGCUACCGCUGCAGGAGGAUCCCGCGUCCCAUUAGCUUGUUGGCAGGGUAACGGCCUACCAAGGCUUCGAUGGGUAGCUGGUCUGAGAGGAUGGUCCAGCCACACUGGGACUGAGAUACGGCCCAGACUCCUACGGGAGGCAGCAGUCGAGAGGCUUCGGCAAAUGGGCGAAAGCCUGACAGAGCGACGCCGCGUGGAGGA
rnacentral:rRNA from 1 species